GAUGAACGCUGGCGGCGUGCCUAAUACAUGCAAGUCGAGCGAACGGACGAGAAGCUUGCUUCUCUGAUGUUAGCGGCGGACGGGUGAGUAACACGUGGAUAACCUACCUAUAAGACUGGGGUAACUUCGGGAAACCGGAGCUAAUACCGGAUAAUAUUUUGAACCGCAUGGUUCAAAAGUGAAAGACGGUCUUGCUGUCACUUAUAGAUGGAUCCGCGCUGCAUUAGCUAGUUGGUAAGGUAACGGCUUACCAAGGCAACGAUGCAUAGCCGACCUGAGAGGGUGAUCGGACACACUGGAACUGAGACACGGUCCAGACUCCUACGGGAGGCAGCAGUAGGGAAUCUUCCGCAAUGGGCGAAAGCCUGACGGAGCAACGCCGCGUGAGUGAUGAAGGUCUUCGGAUCGUAAAACUCUGUUAUUAGGGAAGAACAUAUGUGUAAGUAACUGUGCACAUCUUGACGGUACCUAAUCAGAAAGCCACGGCUAACUACGUG
rnacentral:rRNA from 1 species